UCCUUAGAUGUUCUGGGCCGCACGCGCGCUACACUGAUCAGUGCAACAAGCAUCCGUCCUUGGCCGACAGGCCCGGGCAAUCUUUGAACGCUGAUCGUGAUGGGGAUAGACUUUUGCAAUUUUUGGUCUUCAACGAGGAAUUCCUAGUAAACGCAAGUCAUCAACUUGCAUUGAUUACGUCCCUGCCCUUUGUACACACCGCCCGUCGCACCUACCGAUUGAAUGGUCCGGUGAAGCCUCCGGAUUGGCGUGCACCCUCGGGUGCUGCCGAGAAGUUGGCUAAACCUUACCAUUUAGAGGAAGGUGAAGUCGUAACA
rnacentral:rRNA from 1 species